CUGCGCCCCAAGCCGCGGCGGAGGCGCCGGCAGGGACUGGGCCAUGUGAUGCAGGGAGGGGGAGGGGGAGGGCAGCGAGAGGAAGAGGAGGUGGGGGAGGAGCAGGCGGGUAGGUGCUGCUCGCUAUAGAGUCGCUGGGGCUCCGCCGCCGCUGCCGGGGAGCGGAGCCGGGCAGCAGCCGCGGGAGAACGUGCCAGCGAGCCGGGCUAGGGGCAGAGCCGCCGCCGUCCCUCCCUCCCUAGGAAUCCCAAGCGGCCGGAGGGUGGAGCCGCGGCCCCCGGAGCGAGCUGCUCCCCCGGCUGUGUGGCGCGGGGAGGAGGAAAGGCAGCGGCGGCAGCAGGGAGCCCGCGCUGCAAGGAGCCGCCGCCGCUUCAUCCUGCGGCACCGGGAGGCAAAGAGGAGCCCGGGCGUGCGCAGGUGGCAGUGUAGAAGCCAAGAACAAAAACUGACAGAAGUUACUAUUCUCUAUAAGAAAAUGAAGAGAGUGAACACAUGACUAAUCACAGGAACCUGAAAAACCACAGGAAUGAAAUGCUGAUAGCUCCUUACUUUGGAGAGUGACUGAAAGAAAACAGAUCAUUCAUACAGUAUACAACAAAGGCAUUUUAUAAUCUGAUUUGUCUACCUGUGAUGAAGAAUUUUAGUUAAUGGAAGCUGCAGCAGUCUGUCACCAGGAAAUAUACUGCUUUAUUCAGAAUGGGUCCCAGGAGGUGUUGCGGAAGGGCAAAGGAGGCUGGACAUCUCCUCUACACUCUCACAACUCCUGCAGUUCCUAGGGCUAGGCAACUUUUCCAACUCGCCUCCAUGUGCAAUGACUUCCAAGGGGUAGCUGUGGCAGCUGGGGACUGCUGGAGCACACUGCACUCUGACCAUGCCUUCCUCCCCUUACAAAUCUACUGCGGUAUGGUACGGAGCCAGCAAUGCCAGUUCUACACCCCCUGGAAUUCUCCUACACCAGAGCUUGAAGGCUCUUUUGUGCUGCUAGAAAAACCUAAAGCAGCCUUAUCAGGGCUGAGCAGCCACCCCCUUGUCUUCGUCCUCACCUGCAAAGCAUCUAGCCUGCUAUGAAUUCAACCCUGUAAGGUUCUGAGCAAAUGAAAUCAAUUUUAUUAUUACUGACACAUGCGUACACACACACACACACUCUGGUUAUUGUGUCAUUGACUUCUAUAGGGCCAGGAGCUCAUGCCUAGAAUACUCCCAAGUUCUGUUAAAUACUGAUUAUUAAAUAAUCUGUGCACCUGGAGCUUUUGCCUGCCCUGGCUAUGAAGGAGUUAAAGAUUUGUAUACAACAAAAUGAAAAGGGCUGUUUAAAAUUCUCCUUCCAGUGCAAGUCAUCACUCCCCAUAUG
rnacentral:lncRNA from 1 species